AUAACAUGGAAGGACAAACUAUAUGAGCCUGGUGUCUAUUUACAACAGCACACUGGUUUCCAAAACUAGUCCACAUUCCAGGACUAUGUUUAUCAGAAACUAGUCCCCAUUCCGGGACUAUGUUUAUCAGAAACUAGUCCACAUCCAGGACUAUGUUUAUCAGAAACUAGUCCACAUCCAGGACUAUGUUUAUCAGAAACUAGUCCACAUCCAGGACUAUGUUUAUCAGAAACUAGUCCCCAUUCCAGGACUAUGUUUAUCAGAAACUAGUCCACAUCCAGGACUAUGUUUAUCAGAAACUAGUCCACAUCCAGGACUAUGUUUAUCAGAAACUAGUCCCCAUUCCAGGACUAUGUUUAUCAGAAACUAGUCCACAUCCAGGACUAUGUUUAUCAGAAACUAGUCCACAUCCAGGACUAUGUUUAUCAGAAACUAGUCCACAUCCAGGACUAUGUUUAUCAGAAACUAGUCCACAUCCAGGACUAUGUUUAUCAGAAACUAGUCCCCAUUCCAGGACUAUGUUUAUCAGAAACUAGUCCACAUCCAGGACUAUGUUUAUCAGAAACUAGUCCACAUCCAGGACUAUGUUUAUCAGAAACUAGUCCACAUUCCGGGACUAUGUUUAUCAGAAACUAGUCCCCAUUCCGGGACUAUGUUUAUCAGAAACUAGUCCACAUCCAGGACUAUGUUUAUCAGAAACUAGUCCCCAUUCCAGGACUAUGUUUAUCAGAAACUAGUCCACAUCCAGGACUAUGUUUAUCAGAAACUAGUCCACAUUCCGGGACUAUGUUUAUCAGAAACUAGUCCCCAUUCCGGGACUAUGUUUAUCAGAAACUAGUCCACAUCCAGGACUAUGUUUAUCAGAAACUAUUCCACAUUCCGGGACUAUGUUUAUCAGAAACUAGUCCCCAUUCCAGGUCUAUGUUUAUCAGAAACUAGUCCACAUUCCGGGACUAUGUUUAUCAGAAACUAGUCCACAUCCAGGACUAUGUUUAUCAGAAACUAGUCCACAUUCCGGGACUAUGUUUAUCAGAAACUAGUCCACAUUCCGGGACUAUGUUUAUCAGAAACUAGUCCGUUUCCUGCUACUACAUGUUAUUGUUGUCUUUCUAGCGUCCUUUUAAAACAUGGCUUCCUUCACACAACAAGAAAUGUAGCUUUUAUGAAAAUAUCAUCACUCCCCAUCUGUAUCAUAUUACUGUGUGUGCAUGCCUACUUUCAUUAGUGUGUGUGUGUGUGUGUGCCUACUUUCCUUAGUGUGUGUGUGUG